AUGCUUUCGCCUGAUAAUUCAUACGGCUCUAAUGGUAGCGUUAAUCAGGAAUCAGGAAGGUCUCGCUUGGAGCGCUUGAGAAAAUCGAGGACUUUAGGAGAAGAUAAACGCGAUGCCGAACGGGAUCCGGAUUACGUAGUUCGGUUGAGAGAACUUGUUUGCUCUUUUUGUGGCUUUUAAAUUAAUCGACGGCAUGCUUAAUAAUUGAUGCUCCGGUCUUCCUGCGCGGUAUUCCUAUUUUACAGUCUUGUUUUUGGUACGCUACCACCUGAGCUUCAGGUCCUGUUUGAUUGGGGGAUUUUUUAUGGUAUCGGAGGGAGGGGGUAAGUAUUUUUGGUUAGAAAAGGUGGGAGGGACCUGUUGCGUUUGUAUUGGAGGGCAGAGAAUGGUUCAGACACUUCUAAACUAAAUUACUCAUGUCAAUUUUUUAAUAUUCUAAUUUUAUUCCUCCUCGCUAAAAAGUGAGCUGUCUUUUA